rnacentral:rRNA from 1 species
UACGGAGGGUGCAAACGUUGCUCGGAAUCAUUGGGCGUAAAGCGCACGUAGGCGGUCUGUUAAGUCGGAUGUGAAAGCCCUCGGCUCAACCGAGGAAGUGCAUUCGAAACUGGCAGACUUGAAUAUGGAAGAGGGUCGCGGAAUUCCCGGUGUAGAGGUGAAAUUCGUAGAUAUCGGGAGGAACACCAGUGGCGAAGGCGGCGACCUGGGCCAAUAUUGACGCUGAGGCGCGAAAGCUAGGGAGCAAACAGG